ensembl:lncRNA
AUACCAGACUAGUUCUGGCACAUAUUAAGUACCAUAUUCAUGUUGUCUCCUGCUGCUUUUUGAAAAAUCAGGAUUCUAAUACAAUUUACUUAUUUGUGGUGAGGAUUAGAUGAGACAGAUAGCCAGACAUCUCUCUCUGUCUCUCCCUUUGACUCCAUCUAUGAUGGUUGAGUGUUGAGGGGAAGCUGCUCUUCACUUUGACCUAGAAAAGUUGUUUUCCUAUUUUUAAAGUAAGCUGCCAUUGUGAUUAGUUUCUGGAACACAGCUGUCACGGUUUUGGACUUGAUUUUGCUUUCUGUCUGGAGGAGAUCGCUCCCUAUUUAUUUUGCAGGCCUGUGGCCAUCACGUCUGGCUCUCCCUCUCCACCCUGUGCUCUGUGAAAUGGUUCUGGCUUUGUCCCUGGGUGUGGGAGCCCCCAGCUGUUUGCUGGGUCUUGUUCAAAUCCUGUGAAUAAAUAAAUAGAACUGAAAUAUAGAGCUGAUGGGGUCAGGAAAUAAACCGAUGAGUGUGUGUGUGUGUGUGUGUGUGUGCGCGCGUGCAUGAGUGUGUGUGUGUUGAGUGGAGGGUUUGAUGGCCUGAUUUGGGUGAGGGGGCUUGGGAAAUAGAUGAGAAACAAAAGCAAAUGUAGCUGUUUUUGUAAUUUUAUUUUGGAAUGAAAAUGUCUGAAAAGUUUUUUUUUUUUUUUGUGAGUAUGCUGCACCACGUGGCAUGUGGGAUCAUAGCUCCCUGACCAGGGAUCAAACCUGUGCCCCCUGUAUUGGAAGCAUGGAGUCUUAACAACUGGACCUCCAAGGAAGCCCCUGAAAAGCUUUUAGAUAUGAAAAUAAGGGAAUUCCAGUGGAGCAGGAAAGUUGGGCCAUAAAGAAGACAGAGUGCCAGAGAAUUGAUGCUUUUGAAUUGUGGUGCUUGAGAGCCCCUUGGACAGCAAUGAGAUCAAACCAGUCAGUCCUAAAGGAAACCAACCCUGAAUAUUCAUUGGAAGGUCUGAUGCUAAAGCCAAAGCUCCAAUACUUUGGUCAC